UACCCGCAGCACGAGUGGUGGUCAUUAUUAUUGGGCCUAAAGCGUCCGUAGCUGGCGUGUUAGAUGCCUGGGUAAAUCGAUGCGCUCAACGUAUCGAAUUCCGGGUAGACCGGCACGCUCGAGACCGGGAGAGGUGUAGGGUACUCGGGGGGGUAGGGGUAAAAUCCUGUAAUCCUCCGGGGACGACCAGUGGCGAAGGCGCUACACUAGAACGGCUCUGACAGUGAGGGACGAAGCCCUGGGGCGCAAACCGG
rnacentral:rRNA from 1 species